rnacentral:rRNA from 1 species
UACGAAGGGGACUAGCGUUGCUCGGAAUCACUGGGCGUAAAGGGUGCGUAGGCGGGUCUUUAAGUCAGGGGUGAAAUCCUGGAGCUCAACUCCAGAACUGCCUUUGAUACUGAAGAUCUUGAGUCCGGGAGAGGUGAGUGGAACUGCGAGUGUAGAGGUGAAAUUCGUAGAUAUUCGCAAGAACACCAGUGGCGAAGGCGGCUCACUGGCCCGGUACUGACGCUGAGGCACGAGAGCGUGGGGAGCAAACAGG